rnacentral:rRNA from 1 species
AACGCGAAGAACCUUACCUGGCCUUGACAUGCUGGUGGUAGAAGCCCGAAAGGGUGACGACCUAUCGUAAGAUAGGAGCCAGCACAGGUGCUGCAUGGUUGUCGUCAGCUCGUGUCGUGAGAUGUUGGCUUAAGUGCCGCAACGAGCGCAACCCCUGUGUUUAGUUGCUCCGACGAAAGUCGGAGAUCUCUAAACAGACUGCCUCGCUUUAAACGAGGAGGAAGGUGGGGAUGACGUCAAAUCAGUAUGGCCCUUACGGCCAGGGCUGCACACGUGCUACAAUGCGCGGCACAGAGGGAUGCAAGACCGCGAGGUGGAGCAAAUCCCAGAAAACCGCGCCCAGUUCAGAUUGAAGGCUGCAACUCGCCUUCAUGAAGCCGGAAUCGCUAGUAAUGGCGCAUCAGCUACGGCGCCGUGAAUACGUUCCCGGGCCUUGUACACACCGCCCGU